UGGCGAGUGGCGAACGGGUGAGUAAUAUAUCGGAACGUAUCCAAUAAUGGGGGAUAACUAAUCGAAAGGUUGGCUAAUACCGCAUACGCCCUACGGGGGAAAGCUAGGGACCUUCGGGCCUGGCGUUAAUGGAGCGGCUGAUAUCUGAUUAGCUAGUUGGUGAGGUAAAAGCUCACCAAGGCGACGAUCAGUAGCUGGUCUGAGAGGACGACCAGCCACACUGGAACUGAGACACGGUCCAGACUCCUACGGGAGGCAGCAGUGGGGAAUUUUGGACAAUGGGCGAAAGCCUGAUCCAGCCAUUCCGCGUGAGUGAAGAAGGCCUUCGGGUUGUAAAGCUCUUUCGCAAGGGAAGAAAACUUAGUCUCUAACAUAGACUGAGGUUGACGGUACCUUGAUAAGAAGCACCGGCUAACUACGUGCCAGCAGCCGCGGUAAUACGUAGGGUGCGAGCGUUAAUCGGAAUUACUGGGCGUAAAGCGUGCGCAGGCGGUUUUGUAAGUCAGAUGUGAAAUCCCCGAGCUCAACUUGGGAACUGCGUUUGAAACUACAAGACUAGAAUAUGUCAGAGGGGGGUAGAAUUCCACGUGUAGCAGUGAAAUGCGUAGAGAUGUGGAGGAAUACCAAUGGCGAAGGCAGCCCCCUGGGAUAAUAUUGACGCUCAUGCACGAAAGCGUGGGGAGCAAACAGGAUUAGAUACCCUGGUAGUCCACGCCCUAAACGAUGUCUACUAGUUGUUGGUGGAGUAAAAUCCAUGAGUAACGCAGCUAACGCGUGAAGUAGACCGCCUGGGGAGUACGGUCGCAAGAUUAAAACUCAAAUGAAUUGACGGGGGCCCGCACAAGCGGUGGAUUAUGUGGAUUAAUUCGAUGCAACGCGAAAAACCUUACCUGGCCUUG
rnacentral:rRNA from 1 species